rnacentral:rRNA from 1 species
UACGUAGGUGGCAAGCGUUGUCCGGAUUUAUUGGGCGUAAAGGGAGCGCAGGCGGUGACUUAAGUCUGAUGUGAAAGCCCACGGCUCAACCGUGGAAGGUCAUUGGAAACUGGGUCACUUGAAUGGAGCAGAGGAGAACGGAAUUCCAUGUGUAGCAGUGAAAUGCGUAGAUAUAUGGAGGAACACCAGUGGCGAAGGCGGUUCUCUGGGCUCACAUUGACGCUGAGGCUCGAAAGCGUGGGGAGCGAACAGGAUUAGA